rnacentral:rRNA from 1 species
CUAAGAAUCUUGCGAAUGGGCGAAAGCCUGACGCAGCAACGCCGCGUGGGGGACGAAGCCCUCGGGUUGUAAACCCCUUUUGCGAGGGAAGCGGUACCUCGCGAAUAAGCCACGGCUAACUACGUGCCAGCAGCCGCGGUAAUACGUAGGUGGCGAGCGUUGUCCGGAUUUAUUGGGCGUAAAGAGCCCGCAGGCGGCUUGAUAAGUUUCAGGUGAAAUCUCCCGGCUCAACUGGGAGGGGUCCUGGAAAACUGUCAGGCUUGAGGCAGGGAGAGGGAUGUGGAAUUCCCGGUGUAGUGGUGAAAUGCGUAGAUAUCGGGAGGAACACCAGUGGCGAAGGCGGCAUCCUGGCCUGUCCUGACGCUCAGGGGCGAAAGCGUGGGGAGCAAACGGAUUAGAUACCCUUGUAGU